rfam:Oryza meridionalis cultivar OR44 (W2112) chromosome 8, whole genome shotgun sequence.
GUGGCCCCAGGAGUUCCUUGCAAGCACUUCACAAAAAACUUCAGUUACUCUCAUACAACAUUGUGAGUUUGAGAAGCUAUUGUGAAGUGUUUGGGGAACUCUCGGUGCCAA